rnacentral:rRNA from 1 species
AAAGAUUAAGCCAUGCAUGUCUAAGUAUAAACGUUCUAAACGUGAAACCGCGAAUGGCUCAUUAAAACAGCUAUAAUUCACUUGAUCUUAAACAAUCCUACUUGGAUAACUGUGGUAAUUCUAGAGCUAAUACAUGCAUUAAAGCUCUGACCUCACGGAAAGAGUGCAUUUAUUAGAACAAAACCAAGCGGCUUCGGCUGUUUUCGGUUGACUCAUAGUAACUGAGCUGAUCGCAUGGUCUUGCACCGGCGACGUGUCUUUCAAGUAUCUGCCGUAUCAACUUUCGAUGGUAGUGUAUCUGACUACCAUGGUGAUCACGCGUAACGGAGAAUAAGGGUUCGACUCCGGAGAGUUCGCCUGAGAAAUCGCGAACACAUCUAAGGAAGGCAGCAGGCGCGAAAAUUACCCACUCUCAGCACGAGGAGGUAGUGACGAAAAAUAACGAGACCGUUCUCUUUCGAGGCCGGUCAUCGGAAUGGGUACAAUUUAAACCCUUUAACGAGUAUCUAUGAGAGGGCAAGUCUGGUGCCAGCAGCCGCGGUAAUUCCAGCUCUCAAAGUGCAUAGAAUUAUUGCUGCGGUUAAAAAGCUCGUAGUUGGAUCUGUGCCAUAGGACGGGGUCUUUCCUAACGGAUUUGUACUUCGCUCCUAGGCUUUUCAGUCGGUUUUCCCGUAAUCGCAUUCAUUUGUCGUUGCGGGUGGCUGACGAGUUUACUUUGAGAAAAUCAGAGUGCUCAAUACAGGCGUCUAGCUUGAAUGAUUGUGCAUGGAAUAAUAGAAAAGGAUUUCGGUCCUCUUUUAUUGGUUUUGUGGACUGAGAUAAUGGUUAACAGGGACAAACGGGGGCAUUCGUAUCGCUGCGUGAGAGGUGAAAUUCUUGGACCGUAGCGAGACGCCCUACUGCGAAAGCAUUUGCCAAGAAUG